GGGGGCAUAGCUCAGUGGAAGAGCAUCUGCUUUGCAUGUGCAGCUUCUCUCAACGUUGGGUCCCCAGCUGUCGUUGGGACUACAACUCCCAUCAUCCCUGACCACUGGCCCUGCUAGCUAGGGAUGAUGGGAGUUGCGGUCCAACAACCCAAUGUUGAGAAACACUGAUGUAGAAGGUUCCAGGUUCAAUCCCAGCAACCCCA